CAGCCGCCACGGGAAUACGUAGGUGGCAAGCGUUGUCCGGAAUUAUUGGGCGUAAAGGGCUCGCAGGCGGUUUCUUAAGUCUGAUGUGAAAGCCCCCGGCUCAACCGGGGAGGGUCAUUGGAAACUGGGAAACUUGAGUGCAGAAGAGGAGAGUGGAAUUCCACGUGUAGCGGUGAAAUGCGUAGAGAUGUGGAGGAACACCAGUGGCGAAGGCGACUCUCUGGUCUGUAACUGACGCUGAGGAGCGAAAGCGUGGGGAGCGAACAGGAUUAGAGACCCCAGUAGUCCCUGUCUCUUAUAA
rnacentral:rRNA from 1 species